rnacentral:rRNA from 1 species
UACGGGGGGGGCAAGCGUUGUUCGGAAUUACUGGGCGUAAAGGGCUCGUAGGUGGCCAACUAAGUCGGACGUGAAAUCCCUCGGCUUAACCGGGGAACUGCGUCCGAUACUGGUUGGCUUGAGUUUGGGAGAGGGAUGCGGAAUUCCAGGUGUAGCGGUGAAAUGCGUAGAUAUCUGGAGGAACACCGGAGGCGAAAGCGGUGUACUGGGGCUGGUCUGACGCUGAGGCACGAAAGCCAGGGGAGCGAACGGG